rnacentral:piRNA from 1 species
AAAGUCCUGAGCAGUGGCCAGGGUUGG